rnacentral:rRNA from 1 species
UACAGAGGUGGCAAGCGUUGUUCGGAAUUACUGGGCGUAAAGGGCGCGUAGGCGGUUUGCCAAGUCCCGUGUGAAAGCCCUCGGCUCAGCCGAGGAACGGCGCGGGAAACUAGCAGGCUCGAGUUCGGGAGAGGGAAGCGGAAUUCCGGGUGUAGCGGUGAAAUGCGCAGAUAUCCGGAGGAACACCGGUGGCGAAGGCGGCUUCCUGGACCGACACUGACGCUGAGGCGCGAAAGCUGGGGGAGCAAACGGG